UAGUGAUGAGGUAUUUCAGACCAGUGCCAGAGCUGCUGCUAAAACUGCUGUUUGUGUAAAUGCAAACAGUCAACUGAGAAAGUUAGACAAUAUUAGACAAUGGAGGAUGUCCAGCCUUUGCUAGUGCUGCUCCCAGCAGCCAAAGUUAGAGGUCCAGGUGUUGGCUACUGUGUAUACUGGUGCUCCCACCUAGACUUUAACUACUAGCAACUGAAUACAAAAGGGGGGAAAGGGAAUUUGGAUUAAAUCAGGUAAAUGUUGCUUUGUUUGCCUCUUAGAACUGGGUUGUUGAUGGAAAGGUUCAAAGCAGUCAAGUGUCCUGACACUGCUACCCAACUUGGAGAGAUCAAAAAAGUUCAGCAGGAGCUGAACCAGCCUGCAACCUUAGAAAGACUGCUGCCCAACAAAGCAGAGUCUGUUGCUCACCUGAGAGCAAUCUUUACUGGCCCUAUGCCUUAGAUAUGGGCAAAGAAGGUGAUCAGAUGGUUGCCAUCACCAUUGCUGGUCCAAACCAAUUUGUUCUGAAGCCUCAGUGAGAGGGUGGAGGGAACAAUCUCUAUGGUGAAAACCUCAAGCAAGUGCUGGAGAAAACUAAAGAUAGCCCAGAGAGAACUUCUUAUAUCCUAAUGGAUAAGAGCAAGCCUCAGCCAAUGAUGAAUUACAUGUUGAGGGCCCACUCCCCCUUGAAAAUAUCAAAAUGUGUCUCUGAGUUGGGGAUUCUUGGUGUCUACAUCAGGUGAGGCUUUGGCUUGCUUUGCCAUUUCACUUUGUCCACGCCUGCAUCACUCCCUGCACUUCAGUGAAUUCUAACCAGCCCAGGUAGAAGGCAUUGCAGUGAGCAGAAGAGGCAUGAGAGGGGGCAUGCAUGUUCAGAACAGAAAUGCAACUUGCAAAAGGUGUUUCGUCAGUAGUUCUCUGUGCCGUUCACACAAUUACCAACCUCAUUUCUAGGUGCUGACAGAUGAAAACCAUUUAAAACA